UUUAAUUGGGAUCUUGUAUGAAUGAUUGGACAAGGGAAUAACUGUCUUUGUAUUAAAAUUUGAAUUUAACUUUUAAGUGAAAAGGCUUAAAUAUACUAAGGGGACGAUAAGACCCUAUAAAACUUUACAUUAGUAUUAAAUUUUAUAGAAUUUAAAGUUAUAAUAAUUAAAUUUAAUUUUUUUGUUGUGUUGGGGAGACAAAAGCUAUAAUUAAUAUAUAACUGCUUUAAAAAGAAAACAAUAAUAGGUGGAAAUGGAGUUAUAGAUCCUUUAUAAAGAUUAUUAGAUUAAGUUACUUUAGGGAUAACAGCGUUAUUUUUUUUGAGAGUUCAUAUCGAAAAAAAAGAUUGCGACCUCGAUGUUGAAUUAAAAUAUCUUUAUAAUGUAGGUGUUAUAAAAGAAGGUCUGUUCGACCUUUAAUUUUUU
rnacentral:rRNA from 1 species